rnacentral:rRNA from 1 species
AGAAUCAACGCUGGCGGCGUGCCUAACACAUGCAAGUCGAACGAGAAAGUGGAGCAAUCCACGAGUAAAGUGGCGCACGGGUGAGUAACACGUGACUAACCUACCCUUGAGUGGGGAAUAACUGAGGGAAACCUUAGCUAAUACCGCAUAACACCUACGGGUCAAAGGAGCAAUUCGCUUAAGGAGGGGGUCGCGGCAGAUUAGUUAGUUGGCGGGGUAAUGGCCCACCAAGACAGUGAUCUGUAUCCGGCCUGAGAGGGCGCACGGACACACUGGAACUGAAACACGGUCCAGACUCCUACGGGAGGCAGCAGUGGGGAAUUUGCGCAAUGGGGGAAACCCUGACGCAGCAACGCCGCGUGGAGGAUGAAGACCCUUGGGUCGUAAACUCCUUUCGAUCGGGACGAUUAUGACGGUACCGGAAGAAGAAGCCCCGGCUAACUUCGUGCCAGCAGCCGC